rnacentral:rRNA from 1 species
GAUGAACGCUAGCUACAGGCCUAACACAUGCAAGUCGAGGGACCGGCGCCCGGGUGAGUAACACGUAUCCAACCUGCCCUUUACCCGGGGAUAGCCUUUCGAAAGAAAGAUUAAUACCCGAUAUAAAGGAUGGGGAUGCGUUCCAUUAGGUUGUUGGUGAGGUAACGGCACACCAAGCCUUCGAUGGAUAGGGGUUCUGAGAGGAAGGACACAAAGAUGGGAACGGAGACACGGUCGAAACUCGUACGGGAGGCAGGAGUGAGGAAGAUUGGGCAAGGGGGGCUAGCCUGAACCAGCCAAGUAGCGGGAAGGAUGAAGGGGUAUGGGUCGUGAACUUCUUUUAUAUAAGAAUAUGUAUUAUAUGAAUAAGGAUCGGCUAACUCCGGGCCAGCAGCCGCGGUAAUUC